UGAGGUGAUAUGAACCGUUAUAACCGGCGAUUUCCGAAUGGGGAAACCCAGUGUGUUUCGACACACUAUCAUUAACUGAAUCCAUAGGUUAAUGAGGCGAACCGGGGGAACUGAAACAUCUAAGUACCCCGAGGAAAAGAAAUCAACCGAGAUUCCCCCAGUAGCGGCGAGCGAACGGGGAGGAGCCCAGAGCCUGAAUCAGUGUGUGUGUUAGUGGAAGCGUCUGGAAAGGCGCGCGAUACAGGGUGACAGCCCCGUACACAAAAAUGCACAUAUUGUGAGCUCGAUGAGUAGGGCGGGACACGUGGUAUCCUGUCUGAAUAUGGGGGGACCAUCCUCCAAGGCUAAAUACUCCUGACUGACCGAUAGUGAACCAGUACCGUGAGGGAAAGGCGAAAAGAACCCCGGCGAGGGGAGUGAAAAAGAACCUGAAACCGUGUACGUACAAGCAGUGGGAGCCUCUUUAUGGGGUGACUGCGUACCUUUUGUAUAAUGGGUCAGCGACUUAUAUUCUGUAGCAAGGUUAACCGAAUAGGGGAGCCGAAGGGAAACCGAGUCUUAACUGGGCGUUAAGUUGCAGGGUAUAGACCCGAAACCCGGUGAUCUAGCCAUGGGCAGGUUGAAGGUUGGGUAACACUAACUGGAGGACCGAACCGACUAAUGUUGAAAAAUUAGCGGAUGACUUGUGGCUGGGGGUGAAAGGCCAAUCAAACCGGGAGAUAGCUGGUUCUCCCCGAAAGCUAUUUAGGUAGCGCCUCGUGAAUUCAUCUCCGGGGGUAGAGCACUGUUUCGGCAAGGGGGUCAUCCCGACUUACCAACCCGAUGCAAACUGCGAAUACCGGAGAAUGUUAUCACGGGAGACACACGGCGGGUGCUAACGUCCGUCGUGAAGAGGGAAACAACCCAGACCGCCAGCUAAGGUCCCAAAGUCAUGGUUAAGUGGGAAACGAUGUGGGAAGGCCCAGACAGCCAGGAUGUUGGCUUAGAAGCAGCCAUCAUUUAAAGAAAGCGUAAUAGCUCACUGGUCGAGUCGGCCUGCGCGGAAGAUGUAACGGGGCUAAACCAUGCACCGAAGCUGCGGCAGCGACACUAUGUGUUGUUGGGUAGGGGAGCGUUCUGUAAGCCUGUGAAGGUGGCCUGUGAGGGUUGCUGGAGGUAUCAGAAGUGCGAAUGCUGACAUAAGUAACGAUAAAGCGGGUGAAAAGCCCGCUCGCCGGAAGACCAAGGGUUCCUGUCCAACGUUAAUCGGGGCAGGGUGAGUCGACCCCUAAGGCGAGGCCGAAAGGCGUAGUCGAUGGGAAACAGGUUAAUAUUCCUGUACUUGGUGUUACUGCGAAGGGGGGACGGAGAAGGCUAUGUUGGCCGGGCGACGGUUGUCCCGGUUUAAGCGUGUAGGCUGGUUUUCCAGGCAAAUCCGGAAAACCAAGGCUGAGGCGUGAUGACGAGGCACUACGGUGCUGAAGCGACAAAUGCCCUGCUUCCAGGAAAAGCCUCUAAGCAUCAGGUAACAUCAAAUCGUACCCCAAACCGACACAGGUGGUCAGGUAGAGAAUACCAAGGCGCUUGAGAGAACUCGGGUGAAGGAACUAGGCAAAAUGGUGCCGUAACUUCGGGAGAAGGCACGCUGAUAUGUAGGUGAAGCGACUUGCUCGUGGAGCUGAAAUCAGUCGAAGAUACCAGCUGGCUGCAACUGUUUAUUAAAAACACAGCACUGUGCAAACACGAAAGUGGACGUAUACGGUGUGACGCCUGCCCGGUGCCGGAAGGUUAAUUGAUGGGGUUAGCGGUAACGCGAAGCUCUUGAUCGAAGCCCCGGUAAACGGCGGCCGUAACUAUAACGGUCCUAAGGUAGCGAAAUUCCUUGUCGGGUAAGUUCCGACCUGCACGAAUGGCGUAAUGAUGGCCAGGCUGUCUCCACCCGAGACUCAGUGAAAUUGAACUCGCUGUGAAGAUGCAGUGUACCCGCGGCAAGACGGAAAGACCCCGUGAACCUUUACUAUAGCUUGACACUGAACAUUGAGCCUUGAUGUGUAGGAUAGGUGGGAGGCUUUGAAGUGUGGACGCCAGUCUGCAUGGAGCCGACCUUGAAAUACCACCCUUUAAUGUUUGAUGUUCUAACGUUGGCCCGUAAUCCGGGUUGCGGACAGUGUCUGGUGGGUAGUUUGACUGGGGCGGUCUCCUCCUAAAGAGUAACGGAGGAGCACGAAGGUUGGCUAAUCCUGGUCGGACAUCAGGAGGUUAGUGCAAUGGCAUAAGCCAGCUUGACUGCGAGCGUGACGGCGCGAGCAGGUGCGAAAGCAGGUCAUAGUGAUCCGGUGGUUCUGAAUGGAAGGGCCAUCGCUCAACGGAUAAAAGGUACUCCGGGGAUAACAGGCUGAUACCGCCCAAGAGUUCAUAUCGACGGCGGUGUUUGGCACCUCGAUGUCGGCUCAUCACAUCCUGGGGCUGAAGUAGGUCCCAAGGGUAUGGCUGUUCGCCAUUUAAAGUGGUACGCGAGCUGGGUUUAGAACGUCGUGAGACAGUUCGGUCCCUAUCUGCCGUGGGCGCUGGAGAACUGAGGGGGGCUGCUCCUAGUACGAGAGGACCGGAGUGGACGCAUCACUGGUGUUCGGGUUGUCAUGCCAAUGGCACUGCCCGGUAGCUAAAUGCGGAAGAGAUAAGUGCUGAAAGCAUCUAAGCACGAAACUUGC
rnacentral:rRNA from 1 species